UGAUAGACACACAGAUAAACACUCUUACAGACACACACAUUGAUACACACACUCACUCUGAUAGACACACACAAUGAUAAACACACACACAUACUGAUGAACCACACACAGUAACACACUGAUAAACACACAGACACACCGAUGGGCUGAAAUCCAGACAGCUCUCACACACGAUAGCUCCAGAGGUUUACCGAGCAAGUGGAAGGAUCCGUCACGAGUUCUCCGAGACCCAUGUUCAUGUGGACACACGGGCCCCCGGUUCUCUAUCGCCUGAGAGUGGGGUGUCCCUCCGUCCGUCAGCCCUUCUGUCAGUGACCCCAGUGUCAGUGACCUCUCAGUGGGUUUACGUGUACAAAGGCCACGGCUGUCAGACCUCCUCGCAUACCGAGUCAGACAGAGGUCCCCCCGAGGACGCGGGGCGGGCAGUGACGGCUCAGGAGCUCCCGGGGACCUGUCAAACCCGGGGCUCAAGGGAACCCCCCGGCAGCGCCUCGUAAGCCUGUCCCGCAGCCCGGCUGCCUCACCCGGCACAACACAGAGCACACACCAAGCCAGCCAGGACCGCUGACGACUCACGGACUUUACCGGUCGCCAUUCCCGGAACAUUAUCAGCCACGACGGGAACGGCAGAGCACCCCCCUCCGGGGAACACGCGUCCUUCUUUUUUUGCUAGAAAGGUCAAGUGUUGUGUCACUGAAGAGAGAUUUUGACGCCUGGCUCUGUCCCCCGAGUCAUUCCCCUUUGCGGGAGGGGGCCAGGUCACCCCCGGGAGGGGGCGGCAGGUGGAUGCGGACCGCACGAGGAAGUGUGGGUUCCAGCGCUACUAAAUCACAGAGCCGGCACGCGGAGCGCAGAGCAGCGGGGGGGGGCACGAGGACGUGCGGGACGGCAGGUCUCUUACCUUCGUGGGACUGCGGGCGAGCGGGCUGUCCGGUCCACAGCAGCGCCAGGCACACUGCGAGCACCUGCCGGCAGAGCGCCAUCCGCCCGGACUGGACUGGACUGGACUGCAGCGGAGUGGCCGGGCCGGGCGGGUCAGGGGUGCAUGUCGAGCCGGAACAGACGCUGUGUCCCGACUCCCUCUUCCCCUCUCCCGUCCCUUCUAGAUCCCAGGCUCGCAAGGAAUCUGGACUCAGACGGACUAAACAAUGCGGAACAGAGAUCAUCAACACGCCCCUCCUCGCUGUUCCCGAGGCGCACAAACAGGACUCAUGUUUUUCAUAGCGGGGAGUGUUGCUCUCAUUGUUUCGCGUGUUUCUAAGCCGCAGAACUGGUUCAAAACUCGAAAUUCCGGCAGGUCCGACAGCCUGUAGUAAUGAUUGAAGCGUCGUGAAAAACAGGCCCCGAAUGGGCCGCACUGAUUUACCUGCUCAAAGCUGUAAUUUUCAGAUCACCGAAUUCGCCAGAUCGAGAUAAUUAUAAGGGAAAGACAAAACAGAUUCAGUAAGUCAGCGCUCAAACACACACAAAGGCCCACACAAUGGAAGCUGCAGAGAAACGGUGGAGAACAGGGAACAGAAUACACCAUUCAAGACUGAUGCCAGCUCACUCGCUCGGGGUGCUACCCCUACUGAAGAACUGACUAAUUUUCAGAGACCUUACAAGCGACCCUGCCGGCGAUUUCCGAGCGCAGAGAAGACGUUUAAUCAAGGAUGCCCUCUUGUGGUCUCCAUUAGGUACUGCACAUAACUAGCACUGGAAACGCUGUAGUCGAUUAACCUAGCUUGAUACACUGUGCUUGUCUUAUUUCACGUGACCUUCAACUGUUUGUUAAACUUUUUAUUUAACAAUUAAAGAAUUUACAAA
ensembl:lincRNA